rnacentral:ncRNA from 2 species
GUGGUUUUAAGGGGGAGCUGAGCGGGGCAAAGCUCGGCUGAGAGUAGGCACUAAAAAAUCCCCGUGCCUUGACCCUUUGAACCUGAUCCGGGUAAUGCCGGCGAAGGGAGGAAAAGUGCAAAAAAU